rnacentral:tRNA from 1 species
UUAGCUCAGUCGGUAGAGCAACUGACUUUUAAUCAGUAGGUCACAGGUUCGACCCCUGUA